CAUUAGUCGUGCUGGAUUCGCAGUCGUACCCUGGUGUCUUUAAUUGAUCUGACGAGCUUGCUCUGAUUUGAUUUUAUCUGACAAAGAGUGGCGAACGGGUGAGUAACACGUGGGUAACCUACCUCUUAGCAGGGGAUAACAUUUGGAAACAAGUGCUAAUACCGUAUAAUACCAACAACCGCAUGGUUGUUGGUUGAAAGAUGGUUCUGCUAUCACUAAGAGAUGGACCCGCGGUGCAUUAGCUAGUUGGUAAGGUAACGGCUUACCAAGGCAAUGAUGCAUAGCCGAGUUGAGAGACUGAUCGGCCACAAUGGGACUGAGACACGGCCCAUACUCCUACGGGAGGCAGCAGUAGGGAAUCUUCCACAAUGGGCGCAAGCCUGAUGGAGCAACGCCGCGUGUGUGAUGAAGGGUUUCGGCUCGUAAAACACUGUUAUAAGAGAAGAACGGCACUGAGAGUAACUGUUCAGUGUGUGACGGUAUCUUACCAGAAAGGAACGGCUAAAUACGUGCCAGCAGCCGCGGUAAUACGUAUGUUCCAAGCGUUAUCCGGAUUUAUUGGGCGUAAAGCGAGCGCAGACGGUUAUUUAAGUCUGAAGUGAAAGCCCUCAGCUCAACUGAGGAAUGGCUUUGGAAACUGGAUGACUUGAGUGCAGUAGAGGAAAGUGGAACUCCAUGUGUAGCGGUGAAAUGCGUAGAUAUAUGGAAGAACACCAGUGGCGAAGGCGGCUUUCUGGACUGUAACUGACGUUGAGGCUCGAAAGUGUGGGUAGCAAACAGGAUUAGAUACCCUGGUAGUCCACACCGUAAACGAUGAGUGCUAGAUGUUCGAGGGUUUCCGCCCUUGAGUGUCGCAGCUAACGCAUUAAGCACUCCGCCUGGGGAGUACGACCGCAAGGUUGAAACUCAAAGGAAUUGACGGGGACCCGCACAAGCGGUGGAGCAUGUGGU
rnacentral:rRNA from 1 species